UUACGGCCAUACCAUGUUGAAACACUGGUUCUCGUAUGAUCACAGAAGUUAAGUAACGUCUAACCUGGUUCGUAUCCAGGUGGGUGACCUCUUGGGAAUAAAAGGUGUUGUAA